rnacentral:rRNA from 1 species
UACGGGGGGGGCAAGCGUUGUUCGGAAUUACUGGGCGUAAAGGGUUCGUAGGUGGCCAACUCAGUCAGACGUGAAAUCCCUCAGCUCAACUGGGGAACUGCGUCUGAUACUAGAUGGCUUGAGUGCAGGAGAGGAACGCGGAAUUCCAGGUGUAGCGGUGAAAUGCGUAGAUAUCUGGAGGAACACCGGUGGCGAAGGCGGCGUUCGGGACUGCAACUGACACUGAGGAACGAAAGCCAGGGGAGCAAACGGG